rnacentral:rRNA from 1 species
GACGAACGCUGGCGGCGUGCCUAAUACAUGCAAGUCGAACGGACAAACAGUAGCUUUCUCCUCUAUGUUAGCGGCGGACGGGUGAGUAACACGUGGGCAACCUGCCUUUAAGACUGGGAUAACUUCAGGAAACCGGAGCUAAUACCGGAUAAUGCUUUUUGCCUCAUGUUCGAAAGCUGAAAGUUUGUUUCGGCUCUCAUUUACACGUGGCUCCGCGGCGCGUUAGCUAGUUGGUGGGGUACCGGCUCACCAAGGCGACGACGCGUAGCCGAAGUGAGAGGGGGAUAGGCCACACUGGGACUGAGACACGGACAAGACUCCUAAGGGAGGCAGCAGAAGGGAAUCGGAGGCAAUGGAGGAAAGUCUGACGGAGCAACGCCGAGUGAGUGACGAAGGCUUUCGGAUCGUAAAAACCUGUUGUGAGGGAAGAACAGGUACCGGAGUAAAUGCAGCGACAGUGACGGUAACGAACAAGAAAGCAACGGCUAACUACGUG